UUUCUAGAAUAUGGUUAAAUAAUAGCCCUGAAACAUUUGCGUGGGGUGAUAUUUCUACACAAUGAAAGAAAACUUGAGAUGUCUACUUGGAACUCUUAUUAAUUUGAAAGUCUCCAGUUGUGUUUGUUGCUAGUGGUGGGGGUGGGGGUGUGUAUGUGUGUGUGCAUGGGCAAAUGUAGAGAAGAUGAUGUCAUUGAUGAUAGUGCAACCAACGCUGCCAUCCCAGCUGACUGGAUGGGAUCUUGUAGAAAAGGUGGUUUAACACUGUUUGUUUCACUUUAUGAACUGUUACAUACUGUUUUUGCAGUUCAUAUCUGUAUCUGAAUAUGUUGUUCGCUCUCUUGUUCCAGGAAACAUUUUGAAAUUACCAUGCAAUUUCUUCACCAUUGCUGUAGAAAGAAAAUCUGUGUGUGGCCUUCAAGGCAAAUGGAAAGAAGGGGACAGGGAAAUGUGGCUUCAGAAUCUUACAGUUCCUUCAGAGAGAUCAGUUGGCAUCUAAAGAAAAAAACUGCAGAAACAUCCGAUAUGUGAUGCUUCGAAAACUAUGUCACUAAGUAAGAAGCCCGAAACCGAACACAAUAUUCAAGGUGCAGUCUCACCAGUGCCACAUACAAGAGGACAACCACUUCCCUCGUCCUGCUGGCCACACUACUUCUGAUGCAGGCCAGGAUGCCGUUGGCCUUCUGGGCCAAAUGCUGGCAAUAAAAAUCAUGAAACCAUGUCCACUUGUGGCUUCAUCUGAAUGUUUUUUUCUGCCCAAAAGCAACAAGAAGACAUAUUUGCAAACCCUGUCUUAAAGAAAAAGCAGAUGGACAACCACUACCUUACUAAAUAAAGCCAAUUUGCCAUUGCUGUUGUACUUGCACUUCAGAGACCCAAUCUCAUUUUUUCACACAAGGUUUCUUAAUAAAAAGGUAUAAUUUCUUCUUCAUUGUUCUUCUCAAGGGAUUUGAAGAUUUUAUUUAUUUAUUUAUUUAUCAAGCUGCUUUCUUCAACUUAACAAAAAGGCUAUUUUACGUAGCAAAGGAUACUUUUUUUUAAAACUGUUAAAGUAAUGCCUGAUGCAAUAGGUACAUACAAGUUAUAAUAGGUUCACAUCGCCAAAUUAGUGUAUUCAAAUCAAGUGGACUGGUAUGUUCAGUAAUCAAACCUAUGAUCAGAAUAUUACUCCAUUUUUAGAUGACUUUUUUU